rnacentral:rRNA from 1 species
GGAAGUAAAAGUCGUAACAAGGUCUCCGUAGGUGAACCUGCGGAGGGAUCAUUACAAGAACGCCCGGGCUACGGCCUGGUUAUUCAUAACCCUUUGUUGUCCGACUCUGUUGCCUCCGGGGCGACCCUGCCUUCGGGCGGGGGCUCCGGGUGGACACUUCAAACUCUUGCGUAACUUUGCAGUCUGAGUAAACUUAAUUAAUAAAUUAAAACUUUUAACAACGGAUCUCUUGGUUCUGGCAUCGAUGAAGAACGCAGCGAAAUGCGAUAAGUAAUGUGAAUUGCAGAAUUCAGUGAAUCAUCGAAUCUUUGAACGCACAUUGCGCCCCCUGGUAUUCCGGGGGGCAUGCCUGUUCGAGCGUCAUUUCACCACUCAAGCCUCGCUUGGUAUUGGGCAACGCGGUCCGCCGCGUGCCUCAAAUCGUCCGGCUGGGUCUUCUGUCCCCUAAGCGUUGUGGAAACUAUUCGCUAAAGGGUGUUCGGGAGGCUACGCCGUAAAACAACCCCAUUUCUAAGGUUGACCUCGGAUCAGGUAGGGAUACCCGCUGAACUUAAGCAUAUCAAUAAGCGGAGGA